rnacentral:rRNA from 1 species
AUUGAACGCUGGCGGCAGGCCUAACACAUGCAAGUCGAGCGAGCGGCGGACGGGUGAGUAAUGUCUGGGAAACUGCCUGAUGGAGGGGGAUAACUACUGGAAACGGUAGCUAAUACCGCAUACCAUCAGAUGUGCCCAGAUGGGAUUGGCUCGUGGGUGUGGUAAUGGCUCACCUAGUCGACGAUCCCUAGCUGGUCUGAGAGGAUGACCAGCCAAACGGGAACAGAGACACGGUCCAGACUCCUAGGGGAGGAAGCAGUGGGGAAUAGUGCACAAUGGGAGCAAGCCUGAUGGAGCAAUGCCGCGUGGGUGAAGAAGGCCUUCGGGUUGUAAAGUACUUUCAGCGGGGAGGCGUUACCCGCAGAAGAAGCACCGGCUAACUACGUGCCAGCCGCCGCGGUAAUAC